rnacentral:lncRNA from 1 species
UUUUCCCGGGGCGUCAUUUUUUACUAUUUUCGUUCAUUCCAUGACUUUGUAAUCCUCAUCUUCAGACUGUCAUUUUACCGUUCUUUGGAAGGACACCUGUUUGCAAUUAUGAAACCUAAAUCCCGGGUGAUCUAUCUAUUGCUAACUCAAGCUCUGACAGAAAAGAAGAAGGAGAUUUGGGGUAAAAAGCAAAGAUGCAGCAGUAGCCUUAUGCUCUGUUAGUUGGUUGCUAGUCUAGUUUAAGUAUUCCGGCGAGCUUCGAGGUCGUCGAAGGUCGUGGUUCGAGGUCUUUGUUCAGUCGCGAUUUUUCGUCGAGGUUCCGUUCGAAGUUCUAAUCAGUAGCUCGUUUGCGUGUUGCUGCACGCUCAUUUGUUACGUAGCAAAUUCAGCAAUAAAGGUUCACAUUUCAUCAUUCUUCUUUACUGUUAUUUAGCUCACUUGAUUACUCUUUCUCACUACUCUAUUUGUUCUAUGAGUUAUAGCAUGAUAAAGUUAAUUGGAUCAUAGUAAUUGUUGAUAUUCAUGAAUUACGUUGUUUCAUUUGUGUUGCAAGUAGUUAGAUCUGAAUGUGUUUAUAUUUUUUUUCAUUAAUAUGUUUAUGUUUUACUUUAUGAAUCGUUCCUGUUAGAACUUGGAAUAAUGAUAUGAAAGGGUUAAGUUCAAAUGUUGUUAUUAGAGAUUUCUCCAAUGUUAGUGUAUCAUGACAGUGAGUUGGAAUUAAUGAACAAUAGGCUUCUACAAUGUUUAACAAGAGAAUCAAAAAUUUAAUUUUUAUUGCUUUUAGUCUUACUAUGAAUUUGGGUCGUAGUGUAUAUCUAAAAUCAAGAAGAAUUGGGCUGACACAAAUUUUUGGUCUUCAGGAAUUAGAUGGAAAUGGGUUCUUUCACGUGUUGGAUUGUAGGGAAGGGGUGGCAUUGAAAGAUAGCAUUUGACACUCAUAACCUUAAUUAAAAUUUGUGAAUUUGAGGUGUGCCAUGAUAACCAAAACCCCUAAGUCCAUGACUGUCAUAUAACUAAUAAUAACUCUUUUCAAAUAUAGGUGUGCCAUUAUUAAAUUUUCAUGGUCCUCCCAAACCUUGUUAUUAAUUUGAGAAGUGCGUAGUUGCUUUGGGCGCGCUAUUUAAAUUAAUUUCCUUAAACUCGGGUGUGCAUUUCAUGUGACCUAACUCCAAUUCUCAACAAUGUUAAAUAAAAUGUGUCAUGGACAGCGGGUGCAUUUCAUGUAGCGUGCCUUGUGAUAUGUUUUAAAUAACCUUGAAUUAAUUCUUUAAAUAAAUAAAAACAGCUAAAAGGUUAAAAAGGGCACAAUAGGUUCUAAACAUGUGUUAAAAUCAGAAAAUAGGUCAAUAAUAAUAGUUGAGUGACCGUACUAAAAUCACGGAACCCGGGAAUGCCUAACACCUUCUCCCGGGUUAACAAAAUUCCUUACCUAGAUUUAUGUGUUCGCGAACUGUAAAACAGAGUCAAUCUUUCUUCGAUUCGGGAUUUAAACCGGUGACUUGGGAUACCAUAAAUUAUCCCAAGUGCCGACUCUGAAUUUUUAAUAAAAUAAUCUCGUUUCGAUUGUCACUUUAAAUUGGAAAAACUCCCUUAUACCCCUGCGGGGGUAGGAAAAAGGAGGUGUGACAGCUCUGGCGACUCUGCUGGGGAUCAAGAACCCAGAAUCUCUGGUUCAGGGUUCAAGAAUUCGAUCUUAGAAUAAUUGUUAUAUUUGGCUUUAUUUAUUAUCUGGUUUUAUUCACAUGUUUAGGCCUAAUGUGCUAAAUGUGACUUUUUACCGCUUCGAUACUGUUUGACCUCUAUAUAAAUUGUUACGAAACCCUCCUCUCUCUGAGUCUUCUAAAUCAUCUGGGAAGUGUGCACUUCGUGUGACUUCUCUUCUGUUAGAGUCAUAUUCCAAUUUUAGAAUGAGGUUCGGACAAGUUGGAAAGCUGGUGAAGCUUCUGUAUUCCCGGUACGCUGCCUCCCUCGGCUCGAGCUGUCCGCUCGGGUAAGCCAGGUCUAGAACAAAUAAACCCAGGUUUUUAUACCUAGAAUAACACAACCUUAUGCCGUAUCCCUAGUAGGAACGCUUGUUUGCAUCACGUGCAUCUGGCUUUGGGGACUCAACACAAGGGUUGGGUCUGUCUAGGACAGGUGUACCCAAAAUAAUAGACCAUCUUGAUGCAUCCUAUGUGCUACAUAUUGCAUUUAUUCAAGGGUAAAAGGGUCAUUUGGCGGACCAAUAGUUGAGGCAUAUGAAAAUAAAAUAAAACAAAAAGAGGGUGAAGUGUGAAAUAAAGCAAGUAGGGCCCAAUUGUAUUUUAUGUCACAUGUUUGUUAAGAAAAACAAGAAAACAUGAAAAAAAAAGAUUUUGCAAUUUUUCAUCAUUUUCCGAAAAUAAAAAAAAAGGAAAAAAAUAAAAUCCAAAAAGAGUUUACAUGUUUCAUCAUUUUUUUAAAAAGGGACAAAAAAUAGAUUUUCUCUAAGUUAGUUGUUUUUAAUUCUCGCCCGUAUCCAAUCUGCCCGAACUACGCAUACCUGAUUCUCGUCUUUCGGGGCGUGAUACGUAGGCAACCCACAUAGUGUCUGGUCUUCCUAGUAAAUCUUAGGUUCUUGGAUUUGUGGGGUGUUAGCCAAAUUUUGCACUUCUAGCCACAUUUUGGCCAAACAAACUAUUUUGCAAAAAUAGCCUCAACCAUGUCUUGCAUGUGUCUAGUAGAGAAUGUUAUUGUCUCACAUAGUGUUGGUUUCAGUUUUCUCAUACAGGUAUGGAUCUACUUACCGGAGUUUGAGCGUGACAGAGCCCAGGACCAUUUAGUCAGGAUCGCUCAUUCAAGAGUGGAUUAAAAGGAGAUUUUCUUUUCUUGUUUAUGUCUUGAGUCUGUUUUCUUUUUUAUGUUGUAUUUUGCCUUCUAGUUUGGUAUAGUAAUGUCGAGUUUUUUUAUUAUUAUUGUACUUUCUGUUUUGUAUUUGAAAAAGUGUGU